AUGACGAACUAUAGAGCGUGCAUAAGUACAUCCUCAAACCAAAUCCGUGGGAAACCAACCUACAAAAAAGCAAGGCCAAACGUUAAAUUGGAAGAUCUUCCACAGGAUGUGCUCUGCACAAUUUUAUCAAAGUUGCCUGCUAAAGAGAUUUCAAGGGCCAGCGUUUUGUCAAGAGAUUGGAGAUACGUCCCCGAUAUUUGCUGCUACAAAUUAUGUUUCGCUAGUGCUGCUGGGUGUUGCCGUGAUAGUUUUCCAAGGAAAGAAUACUGCCAAUACAUGCAGAAAUUCAUCAGUGAUGUCAAUGCAGUCGUGAGAAAUUCCCAUGGCAAGGUGGUUGAAGAAUUCAAUGUCAAAUUCGAAUUUGACAUCAUGCUGCUUGCUCAUCUCAAUAAUUGGGUCGAUUUGUUGUGUCAUCACAGACAAAGAACAUUGCUUUCUACUUACGUCCUGUUAACAAGACAGUUUGGGAUGUUGGCCGUUACAUAUUUCCAUUUCACCUCUUGGAUACUCAAAGCAUAUCACGUCUAG
rnacentral:rRNA from 1 species